rnacentral:rRNA from 1 species
GACGAACGCUGGCGGCGUGCUUAACACAUGCAAGUCGAGCGGUAAGGCCCUUUCGGGGUACGACGAGCGGCGAACGGGUGAGUAACACGUGGGUGACCUGCCCUCAGCUCUGGGAUAAGCCUGGGAAACCGGGUCUAAUACCGGAUAUGACUCCAUGACGCAUGUUGUGGGGUGGAAAGCCUUGUGCGGCUGGGGAUGGCCCGCGGCCUAUCAGCUUGUUGGUGGGGUGAUGGCCUACCAUGGCGA